AAUAAAUCAGCAGGAGAAAGUCCUGUUUGCAAUGAAGUUUUGGACUACAACUCUAGGUGACACAGAUUCGAGUGGAAAAUACCAAGGACAGAUUACUUAGAUUGAUCUGGAUCUUCUAUUUUGUUGCAGUCGUGCAGUCUUGAGUCUUAAAGCCAGAGGGAGUCACUAGAACAAGGGGAAGUGCUGCCUGGCAGCUGCAGUGCAUUGCAGCUCAGCAGUAGGAAGCUGACGGGGGUAACUACCCAAGCAGGCUGCCCAGCUGAGCCAAUUACCCCAUCAGCCCUGGGCUAAUAAGAGGCAGCACAGGAAGGAAGUGCAGGGGGGAAGAGAGGAAGGACCGAGCGAC